GGAAGCGAAGCCGCGAGGUGGAGCAAACCCCAGAAACAAGCUCUCAGUUCGGAUCGUAGGCUGCAACUCGCCUACGUGAAGUCGGAAUCGCUAGUAAUCGCAGGUCAGCAUACUGCGGUGAAUACGUUCCCGGGCCUUGUACACACCGCCCGUCACACCACGAAAGUCGGAAGUACCCAAAGCCGGUGGGGUAACCUUCGGGAGCCAGCCGUCUAAGGUAAAGUCGAUGAUUGGGGUGAAGUCGUAACAAGGUAGCCGUAUCGGAAGGUGCGGCUGGAUCACCUCCUUU
rnacentral:ncRNA from 1 species